rnacentral:rRNA from 1 species
GACAGAGGGUGCAAGCGUUGUCCGGAUUUAUUGGGCGUAAAACGUCUGUAGGCGGUUUAUUAAGUCUGAAGUUAAAUAGUUGAGCUUAACUCAAUCUCUGCUUUAGAUACUGAUGAACUAGAGUGCGUUAGGGGUUAUUGGAAUUCCCGGUGUAGUGGUGAAAUACGUAGAUAUCGGGAGGAACUCCAGUGGCGAAAGCGAAUAACUGGGGCGUAACUGACGCUGAGAGACGAAAGCGUGGGGAGCAAAAAGG